rnacentral:misc_RNA from 1 species
GAUGAAGAACGUAGCGAAAUGCGAUAAGUAAUGUGAAUUGCAGAAUUCAGUGAAUCAUCGAAUCUUUGAACGCACAUUGCGCCCGCCAGUAUUCUGGCGGGCAUGCCUGUUCGAGCGUCAUUUCAACCAUCAAGCCCCAGGCUUGUGUUGGGGACCUGCGGCUGCCGCAGGCCCUGAAAACCAGUGGCGGGCUCGCUGUCACACCGGGCGUAGUAGAUUUUAUCUCGCUCAGGGCGUGCUGCGGGUUCCGGCCGUUAAAAAGCCUUUUUUACCCAAGGUCGACCUCGGAUCAGGUAGGAAGACCCGCUGAACUUAAGCAUAUCAAUAAGCGGAGGA